CUCCUGUGGCAUAAAAGUUGUUAAUGCUGCUGAAAUUGAAACAAUAAUAAAACCAUUAUGUUUUGUGAGAGCCUACAGUUACAAAAUGAGAGCUCCUUAAUUGUCAUAGGGUAAUUUUAUAAGGAGGUGGGGAGCUUACAGAGAGUAAAUGAAUUGCAAAGACUUAGGUCUUACCUACCUAACAGCUAUUAAAUAACAUUUCAAAAUAAAUAGCAUUUAAAUACUUUUCAAAAGAUAUUGCUGUGAUUGCCUCAGAGGUGUUACACAGAGCUGGCUGCAGCUGUGACAUGCUGCGGAUCUAUGCUGUGCUGUACACUUUUUGUUACAAUGGAAAGGUGCAUAAAUGAGGUUCUAAACAGACCAAAGGGUUUCAGGAAAACAGUCUCAUGACUGUGAAUGUAAAGGAAAUGAGGAAAGUCAAUGGUUAUCACCUACUGGGUCCUAUUUUCUGGUUACUGGCAAACUACAUGCAAAUCUUGUUUAUCUCCACCCCAUAGACCCCAUAAUUUAUUCUUACCUUAUUCUUACCUUAUUUAUUCUUAUUCUUGACAAAGGUGGGUACUGGUUUUCUUCUUGCAGUAAGAAGCAGCACUGCAAGGGCCAGGGCAGAACCAAGUCUGUCAGUCUUGGUUUCUUCCUCCUAAAAGAGGGGAAAAAAUUCUGUGGGUUUUGGCAAUGAGGAACAGGAAUAAGAAAGCAGAAGGAUGAUGCUACUAUGCUUGAUGAGAGGAAAAAAAAAAAGGAAGAGACAACCUUGGGCCCAAACAAUGCCUUCCCCCAAAAACAUUUGAAAAUUGAGCUGAGGCUGCUAUAGGAAAAUUUCCUAUUUGUUCCAACACACCAAAGGGAGCAGUGGGUCUUUAAAGAAUGAUGCACAAAUUCAGUGGGAACAACUGGUUUAUUCAGGUUGGAGAAGAGGAGAUGGAGGGAAGACUUCUC
ensembl:lncRNA